CCUGGUGGCGAUAGCAAUAGGGUAACACCCGUUCCCAUUUCGAAUACGGAAGUAAAGUCUAUUGCGCCGACAAUACUUGACUGGAGACGGUCCGGAAAAAUAGGUACUGCCAGGA
rnacentral:rRNA from 1 species